rnacentral:rRNA from 1 species
UACGUAGGUGGCAAGCGUUAUCCGGAUUUACUGGGUGUAAAGGGCGUGUAGGCGGGACUGCAAGUCAGAUGUGAAAACCACGGGCUCAACCUGUGGCCUGCAUUUGAAACUGUAGUUCUUGAGUACUGGAGAGGCAGACGGAAUUCCUAGUGUAGCGGUGAAAUGCGUAGAUAUUAGGAGGAACACUAGUGGCGAAGGCGGUCUGCUGGACAGCAACUGACGCUGAGGCGCGAAAGCGUGGGGAGCAAACAGG